UCAAGGCCUCAGAUAAGCGGUUAUACAACAGAAUCAGUAAUAUCACCAUAACCGACUGGAAAGCUGCUUUGCCACGUGAAUGCAAGGCUGAAGCUAUGGAACGUGUAAAGGAUUACAGCUUUACUUGGUCAAUUCAUUUUCUUGGAUUUAUACGGCAUUUUUGUCAACACAGCGCCACAAGUGAUACCCUCAUACAUAAACAUUUCGGGGUGACCGGUGAGGGAUACUACCAAACUUUUUGAGGAUUGAAUCAACAAUUCCUCAUUCAAUGCUUCACAGCCGUAGAGGAAGAAUUUGACGGAACCAGUGGUCUGGUCCAUCACGACUUCUUUGAUGACUAUUUAAUCGUUCCGAGUGCGGUGGUUGCAGAUCGACUUUAAUUUAAUCGCAUGCGAGGAAAUGGAAACUGAUAGUAGGAGUUUGCGGUUUCCAUUUUUGUUGGUUUUUCUGUGUGCUCUCUUUGAUUUCGUAACUCUUAAACUAUUGUCUGAUGAUGAACUUAAUUUUUUCGUGUGGUGUGAUCGAAUUUCUAAUCUUAUCAUAUUAGUAUAUUAUAGAUUCA